GGUGAACGCUGGCGGCGUGCCUAAUACAUGCAAGUCGAGCGAACAGACGAGGAGCUUGCUCCUUUGACGUUAGCGGCGGACGGGUGAGUAACACGUGGGUAACCUACCUAUAAGACUGGGAUAACUUCGGGAAACCGGAGCUAAUACCGGAUAAUAUUUCGAACCGCAUGGUUCGAAAGUGAAAGAUGGCUUUGCUAUCACUUAUAGAUGGACCUGCGCCGUAUUAGCUAGUUGGUAAGGUAACGGCUUACCAAGGCAACGAUACGUAGCCGACCUGAGAGGGUGAUCGGCCACACUGGAACUGAGACACGGUCCAGACUCCUACGGGAGGCAGCAGUAGGGAAUCUUCCGCAAUGGGCGAAAGCCUGACGGAGCAACGCCGCGUGAGUGAUGAAGGUCUUCGGAUCGUAAAACUCUGUUAUUAGGGAAGAACAAACGUGUAAGUAACUGUGCACGUCUUGACGGUACCUAAUCAGAAAGCCACGGCUAACUACGUG
rnacentral:rRNA from 1 species